CAACAACAACAACAACAAAUAUGGCGGAAUCUGUAUUGUCAAACACGGAAGAAGAAGGAUACAACCAUAAUUAAACCAAGAAGUUUAUGAAGAAGGGAUCACUGGAUUUUGUCACUUUGGUACAAGAAACAGAAAAGGAUAUCAUAGACCACCUUACUUAUACGGAAGCAUAGGAGCUGUUGAAGGAAAUUGCUGCCAGACAGUCAGCAGUUAUCACUGACAGCCUGUCCUGGCCCAGCUUGGACCAUCCUCAAGCUUACCAUGAUGGUGUGUUUGCAAGAAUUGUCCAUUUGGUAGACCAUGAUGAAGACCAGCUUUGUUGUGGCAUGGCCUGACAAUACUGUACAAGCCAGAGACCAAAAAAGGGUUUAGUGGUGACUGAUCCUCUCACCCUCCUUAUCCAGGAAACAUUUCGGAACAACGUGUUGGCACUGAAGAUGUGGAGGACACAGAUUGAUCACAGUACAUCCUUUGGAUACAUGGACACCUUCAACGUGACGACAACAAAACUGUACCUGCCUUUUUUUGAAAGGAAGUAGUUAAUAAAAUUAUUGUUAACAGCUUUUUUAGUCUUGUUGUUUAAGAAUGCUUGCAACAUUUAAGUCGAUAAACGGUUGUUUUAAAUUUGAAUCUUCAGUAAUGCAUUCUUUAUUAAAUGAUGUAAUCUUAUUUCUUUCAAUAUAGUGUAAAUAAUAAGAACAUAAUUAUCCUUUGUAUACAAAAUGAAAACCAAGUUUACUGUUCUAUUAAUCAUUAUUUAUUUAUCUUGUUCUUUUGUCAGAAAUAUUACAGGGGCAUACAUACAGUAUUCCUUAAAUAAAAGGGGCAGUUCUUAGAAAAUUAACAUGUAUUUUAGCAAUGCAUAUUCAAACUUUUUCCACAUUUAUAACCAGCAACAAUAUGUAAGUAGUAUAAUGUAACACAAAUUAAUACUAUAAAUUUACUACUGAUUUUGCCGUGCCUGUCAUCAAACAUGUUUGACUGAAAGUUUCUUAAAAGAUGUUAUGUGGAAGACUAAAUCAAUCAUUUAAUAAAUAUUUGAGCCACGCUCUGGGAAAAGGGGGUUUAAUGCAUGUACUUAAGGUUGUCCAAGAUUAGGCUGUGCAGACUGCACAGGCUAAUCAGGGGCAACACUUUCCGCCUUAUCUGGAUUUUCUCUAAGAGACUCCAUUUCAACAAAAAAUACAAUAAAGCAGCAAUUGUCUGCCUGAUUGGUAUUAUCAGCACAUGUUAAUCUCGUACGACAAUUUACGCAGAUGAAUUAAGCCCCAUUUUCCCAGGGCAAGGCUCACCUAUUUAGGUUUUAGCUGUCUAUAUGCUCUUUAACUUUUGAAUCAUGAUGCAGUUUCAUAUAAUAAUGUAUUAUGAGUUGUUUUAAAUUGAUGCAUAUUCUUUUGUUCAGUGUUGAACUCAACAUGUAUUAUAAUAAGGUGUUCACUUAACAUUCUUGCAGUAAUGUUUUGCUGUGUAAUAUACAUGUAAUAAUAAAUCAAAAUUGAACAACUAGCUUCUUAUUUCUUCAUGUUAUUUAUUAAAACAUUUUAAACCAAAACAACAAAAUCCAUCACAUAAUGAACACAAAACAUAAUACUUUAUAUUCAUGAAACAAAACUAUAAUUGAUAACAUUUUGAAUAAAUGUUUCCAACUUUCAACAUUUGACAGAUCAAAUUAUUUCUGAAUUCCACCAAUUUUUUAUUUAUGGAUAAACAGCACUUUAUCAUCUUUAUGACAGUUUAUGUAAGGCUUUUACAAUAAAUGGUUGUUUAUAGACUGAUAAACAAUGGAAAACAAUACAUAAUCUAUAUAAAGCAUUGUGCUUUGAUGUCAUUGUUAAUGGAACAUAAACAAAUGUGGUGUGCAGCACACACUCAACAUUGACUAUGGUAGCUUAUACCUAAAAGAGUCAAUAAUUCCUGUUCAUAGUCUUUACUUGUGACAAAAAAUCAGGAAAACGCUGAGCCCAGUGUUUAUUUAGCUAUUUGCCAAACAAGGUUUUCACAAAUUCUUCUGUUUCAGAGUGACCUAUAUCAAAUACUUUGGAUCCUCUAUUGUAAUAACAAAACAAUUAAUUCACCAUGUUUGAUCAUGGGUUUCCCAUAAAAAACUUAACACAAAUCAUGAAACAUAACACCUAUAAGAGUCAACAAUUCCUGUUAAUAGUCUUGACUUAUGAAAAAAAAAAUCUGGAACUUGGCCCAUUAUUUAUGUAGUUAUUUGCCAGACUUAUUCUUCUUUUUCAGAGUAAUCUAUGAUUGUAUACUUUGGAUCCUAUAUUUUUAUAACAAAACAAUUAACAAAAUUCACAAUACCUUACACACUUAAAACUCAACUACAUAUUCUCAUGGCAUUUAAGGGCACUUGUAUGCUAUGUUCAUCAGUAUUUUAUCAAUGAUAUUUCUGCCCUAUGUUUAUAAGCAGUUCACUUAUUAAAAUCACAUUUUAUCACCAUGAUGAUGACAGGACAGUCGACCAUAAUGCCACACAUUUGGUCACGCCUUCAUAUUACACAAAUAAAUUCAAGCAUCAUUUCAAACACUAAAGUCA